rnacentral:ncRNA from 1 species
UAUAUGGAGAGUUUGAUCCUGGCUCAGGACGAACGCUGGCGGCGUGCCUAAUACAUGCAAGUCGAGCGGACAGAUGGGAGCUUGCUCCCUGAAGUCAGCGGCGGACGGGUGAGUAACACGUGGGCAACCUGCCUGUAAGACUGGGAUAACUCCGGGAAACCGGGGCUAAUACCGGAUAAUUCUUUCCUUCACAUGAGGGAAAGCUGAAAGAUGGUUUCGGCUAUCACUUACAGAUGGGCCCGCGGCGCAUUAGCUAGUUGGUGAGGUAACGGCUCACCAAGGCAAC